GGUUAGGUACAUUGAUGUUUAUGGUUAGGUACAUUGAUGUUUAUGGUUAGGUACAUUGGUGUUUAUGGUUAGGUACAUUGGUGUUUAUGGUUAGGUACAUUGGUGUUAUGGUUAGGUACAUUGGUGUUAUGGUUAGGUACAUUGGUGUUUAUGGUUAGGUACAUUGGUGUUUAUGGUUAGGUACAUUGGUGUUUAUGGUUAGGUACAUUGGUGUUAUGGUUAGGUACAUUGGUGUUUAUGGUUAGGUACAUUGGUGUUAUGGUUAGGUACAUUGAUGUUUAUGGGUAGGUACAUUGGUGUUUAUGGUUAGGUACAUUGGUGUUUAUGGUUAGGUACAUUGGUGUUUAUGGUUAGGUACAUUGGUGUUUAGGUACAUUGGUGUUUAUGGUUAGGUACAUUGGUGUUUAUGGUUAGGUACAUUGGUGUUUAUGGUUAGGUACAUUGAUGUUUAUGGUUAGGUACAUGGUGUUCAUGGUUAGGUACAUUGGUGUUUAUGGUUAGGUACAUUGGUGUUUAUGGUUAGGUACAUUGAUGUUUAUGGUUAGGUACAUGGUGUUCAUGGUUAGGUACAUUGGUGUUUAUGGUUAGGUACAUUGGUGUUUAUGGUUAGGUACAUUGGUGUUUAUGGUUAGGUACAUUGGUGUUUAUGGUUAGGUACAUUGGUGUUUAUGGUUAGGUACAUUGAUGUUUAUGGUUAGGUACAUGGUGUUCAUGGUUAGGUACAUUGGUGUUUAUGGUUAGGUACAUUGAUGGUUAGGUACAUUGGUGUUUAUGGUUAGGUACAUUGGUGUUUAUGGUUAGGUACAUUGAUGUUUAUGGUUAGGUACAUGGUGUUCAUGGUUAGGUACAUUGGUGUUUAUGGUUAGGUACAUUGGUGUUUAUGGGUAGGUACAUUGGUGUUUAUGGUUAGGUACAUUGGUGUUUAUGGUUAGGUACAUUGAUGUUUAUGGUUAGGUACAUUGGUGUUUAUGGUUAGGUACAUUGGUGUUUAGGUACAUUGGUGUUUAUGGUUAGGUACAUUGAUGUUUAUGGUUAGGUACAUUGGUGUUUAUGGUUAGGUACAUUGGUGUUUAUGGUUAGGUACAUUGGUGUUUAUGGUUAGGUACAUUGGUGUUUAUGGUUAGGUACAUUGGUGUUUAUGGUUAGGUACAUUGAUGUUUAUGGUUAGGUACAUUGGUGUUUAUGGUUAGGUACAUUGGUGUUUAGGUACAUUGGUGUUUAUGGUUAGGUACAUUGAUGUUUAUGGUUAGGUACAUUGGUGUUUAUGGUUAGGUACAUUGGUGUUUAUGGUUAGGUACAUUGGUGUUUAUGGUUAGGUACAUUGGUGUUUAUGGUUAGGUACAUUGGUGUUUAUGGUUAGGUACAUUGGUGUUUAUGGUUAGGUACAUUGAUGUUUAUGGUUAGGUACAUUGGUGUUUAUGGUUAGGUACAUUGAUGUUUAUGGUUAGGUACAUUGGUGUUUAUGGUUAGGUACAUUGGUGUUUAUGGUUAGGUACAUUGGUGUUUAUGGUUAGGUACAUUGGUGUUUAUGGUUAGGUACAUUGGU
rnacentral:lncRNA from 1 species